UGUUCCCGGGACUGGGCGGGUGAGUGGCACCCGUGUCCCGUAUCAGCCUCGCUACCUCCCCGCUGCCCACGCAGGGCUCUACGCUGAACUUUCGAGCCGCUGGAGGAAGGACUGGUGCUUGCCCCCUCGGCAGCCGCCCCGACCUGGUUUGCGUUUUCCUUGCCGUAGGUAGGCGGCCUCUCCCAGGAUGGCGGCGUCGGAGGGUCGAAACACCCAGGUUCGAGGAUCCGUGCCUGGGUGUGGAAGUCUCUUCCCUGUGCAUGUUUGCAGCUGGGGCAAGGGUCCACGCUCUGCAGUGGCUGCAGGGCUUGGGUAGCCUUCCAGAAAACGAGAGUCCAGACUUUACCCAAGGAUGGGACACCUUCUGCUCCUCUGUCCAUGAUCUCCCACAAGCUUGGGUUCCCACAUAAAAGAUUCCCAACCUUGGAGAGCAUUCUGGGACAAAAGAAGUGGGAAAUGGCAUGAUUGUCACGCAUGACCUUAUACUACUCCUAGAAGGAAAUGAUACACACAGUUUAACUGAGUAGGUGUUUUAAUGAUUUCUGGUCGAGACAUGCUACUGCGUACAAUUUUAUGCUUUUCCAGUAGAUGAUAGUCAGAGCUUUGGAACUGAUAAUAGAAGGGAA